rnacentral:rRNA from 1 species
AUUGAACGCUGGCGGCAGGCCUAACACAUGCAAGUCGAACGAGUGGCGGACGGGUGAGUCAUGUCUGGGAAACUGCCUGAUGGAGGGGGAUAACUCCUGUAAACGGUAGCUAAUACCGCAUACCAUCGGAUGUGCCCAUAUGGGAUUAUCUCGUAGGUGGGGUAAAGGCUCACCUAGGCGACGAUCCCUAGCUGGUCUGAUAGGAUGAUCCGCCACACUGGGACUGAGACACGGUCCAGACUCCUACGUGAGGCAGCAGUGGGGAAUAUUGCACAAUGGGCGCAAGCCUGAUGCAGCCAUGCCGCGUGUAUGAAGAAGGCCUUCGGGUUGUAAAGUACUUUCAGCGGGGAGGCGUUACCCGCAGAAGAAGCACCGGCUAACUCCGUGCCAGCAGCCGCGGUAAUUC